rnacentral:rRNA from 1 species
ACGGACUCCUACGGGAGGCAGCAGUGGGGAAUAUUGCACAAUGGGCGCAAGCCUGAUGCAGCCAUGCCGCGUGUAUGAAGAAGGCCUUCGGGUUGUAAAGUACUUUCAGCGGGGAGGAAGGGAGUAAAGUUAAUACCUUUGCUCAUUGACGUUACCCGCAGAAGAAGCACCGGCUAACUCCGUGCCAGCAGCCGCGGAAUAAU